UGGGGAAUAUUGGGCAAUGGGCGCAAGCCUGACCCAGCAACGCCGCGUGAAGGAAGAAGGCUUUCGGGUUGUAAACUUCUUUUAUGAGGGACGAAGGAAGUGACGGUACCUCAUGAAUAAGCUCCGGCUAACUACGUGCCAGCAGCCGCGGUAAUACGUAGGUGGCAAGCGUUGUCCGGAUUUAUUGGGCGUAAAGCGAGCGCAGGCGGUCAAUUAAGUCUGAUGUGAAAGCCCCCGGCUCAACCGGGGAGGGUCAUUGGAAACUGGUUGACUUGAGUGCAGAAGAGGAGAGUGGAAUUCCAUGUGUAGCGGUGAAAUGCGUAGAUAUAUGGAGGAACACCAGUGGCGAAGGCGACUCUCUGGUCUGUAACUGACGCUGAGGCUCGAAAGCGUGGGUAGCAAACAGG
rnacentral:rRNA from 1 species